AACGAACGCUGGCGGCAGGCUUAACACAUGCAAGUCGAACGCUUGGGAGCGAUCCCUUGAGUGGCAGACGGGUGAGUAACGCGUGGGAACAUACCCUUCGGUACGGAACAACUUGGGGAAACUCGAGCUAAUACCGUAUGCGGCCUAUGGGCGAAAGAUUGUAUCGCCGAAGGAUUGGCCCGCGUCCGAUUAGCUAGUUGGUGGGGUAACGGCCCACCAAGGCGACGAUCGGUAGCUGGUCUGAGAGGAUGGCCAGCCACAUUGGGACUGAGACACGGCCCAAACUCCUACGGGAGGCAGCAGUGGGGAAUAUUGGACAAUGGGCGCAAGCCUGAUCCAGCCAUGCCGCGUGAGUGAUGAAGGCCUUAGGGUUGUAAAGCUCUUUCGCACGCGACGAUAAUGACGGUAGCGUGAGAAGAAGCCCCGGCUAACUUCGUGCCAGCCGCCGCGGU
rnacentral:rRNA from 1 species